GGGGUUGUGGUUCAGUGGUAGAGCUCUCAUCUAGUACAUGCGAGGCACUGGGUUCAAUCCUCAGCACCACA
rnacentral:tRNA from 1 species